rnacentral:lncRNA from 1 species
CAGAUCUGAAAUCAACACAGACCUCUGAGGGCACAAGCAAAAUGGACUAGUCAUGGCUGUGCUGCUCCUGUCUGAGGUUACGUAGCUGAGGAUACGAUCCUGCCUGAGGAUACGAUCCUGCCACGGGCAAAAGGAACCCACUGGGAGACUCCGGAAGUGGCCAUGCUUCCUCCCGACUGGCACCUGUGCAGGGGCUGGCCGCCACCCAUGGCACAGUGUCUCACAGAGGGCGGGGCUGGCCGAGGAGGCAGGAAAGAGCUGUUGUGCUGAUGAGGUGCCGUCGUGUCACACGGACAGGAGUGCCAGAAUUCAGAGGAAGCGCGGGCCUAGGCCGUGGCCAGAACAUCCAGCCUGGCUUUGUGAAUAUCCUGAUGCUUUGAGCUACCCUCAUUCCAACUGCCCGGCCAGGGAAAGGCUGAAGAGGACUGAGCAGUACUCCAAACACGGAAGAGGUAAGGGACGGAGGGAGAGGGGCUGCCCAGACUCCAAAACAGGAGCUCCGGACAUAGUUCUUCUAAGCCCUGGCUGGGUUGUCUACAUAGAAUGGGCCAAACCAGAGCCUAGAAAAUUUAACAGAGACCAUUUCAGAGUGGGAAAUUGAGGCCCAGAGAGAGG